GUAUCGACGAGUACUCUAACGUGAUCAAGCCAAUCAUCCAUACAUCAGCGUCCAUGGAGAUAUGCCCCACCCACUCUGUAAGUCUCCGUAUACUUGAGUGAGAGUAGCCGUUAUACUAGCAUACUUCUAUUAAACAACAUGAUAAUCAUCACAUGUGCCAUUAAUUGCUCUGGUACGUACUUUGUCCACUGUUUGACUGAAGCUCAGACUCUACUACUAAUCUAGACUUAACAAUUCCUCCAGUGUGAGGCUAUUGACUUAUUUUUAUGCCCCAAUCUUCAUGCAGGGGCGUAGCAAGCAACUUUAAAGUGGUCAGGCCAACUUGCAAUUAAAGGUCAGCUGCUUUUCUACUAUUGGAACUUUUAUACAGUGGUGAAUUUUUUACCUAAGAAAAAGGUCAUCCCUUUUCCUCACCAAAAUAGCAUGCGCAUUAUCACUUACAAUAUUUACGACCAUUGCCUACCCAGCUGCAAAAAGUGGUUAGGCCAAAACCUGACCAGCCUGACCGCUUGCUACAGCUUUGAUCUUAUGUGCAACGUUAUGCUAUAAUUAUGUGAAAACAUUAUUUCUUACUCGUCCAGGUUCAGGUUCGGAAAUGUUGUGUUGGAGAUCACAUCAGGCAGAUAGAGAAGGUGGAGCUGGUCCUCCAGGACCUCCUUCAGCUGCAAUACGAGGACCUGGCAAUCAUGAAGAUGUUUGGGAGGGCCAAAGUGAACGUUAGUCUGCUCAUCUUCCUCAUGAACAAAAAUCGACAGAGCGUUAAAUUGGAUUUGCCAUUAGCAAAUUGCAUGUAUUCAUUGACUAUUCACAGCAGUGCAUGAAUUAUUUAUAUCAUCCGCAUGUACUAUUGACACGUUAUUAACGACCUAAUGUUCCAACAUAAUAUACUAUAUAUUAUUAUAGUACGUACUUUGCUACUUUUCUCAAAUUGUCAUUUAUUAUAAUGUGAUAUAA